UACGUAGGGGGCAAGCGUUGUCCGGAUUUAUUGGGCGUAAAGAGCGUGUAGGCGGCCUGAAAGGUCAGCUGUGAAAACUCGAGGCUCAACCUCGAGACGUCGGUUGAAACCAUCUGGCUAGAGUCCGGAAGAGGAGUGUGGAAUUCCCGGUGUAGCGGUGAAAUGCGUAGAGAUCGGGAGGAACACCAGUGGCGAAGGCGGCCGGCUGGGGGUGACCUGACGCUGAGGCGCGAAAGCGUGGGGAGCGAACCGG
rnacentral:rRNA from 1 species